UACGAAGGGGGCUAGCGUUGUUCGGAUUUACUGGGCGUAAAGCGCACGUAGGCGGAUCGAUCAGUCAGGGGUGAAAUCCCAGAGCUCAACUCUGGAACUGCCUUUGAUACUGUCGAUCUGGAGUAUGGAAGAGGUGAGUGGAAUUCCGAGUGUAGAGGUGAAAUUCGUAGAUAUUGGGAAGAACACCAGUGGCGAAGGCGGCUAACUGGUCCAGAUCUGACGCUGAGGUGCGAAAGCGUGGGGAGCAAACAGG
rnacentral:rRNA from 1 species